rnacentral:lncRNA from 1 species
UUCCCCCUAACCCUAGCCGCCCCUCCCCUAAUCCCUUGGGAUUUUUCAGCCGCCCCUCCCCUUUCUCUUGUGCAGCCGCCCCCUCUCUCUAGCCUUGGACGCCACCCCCCUCUCACUCCUCCACCCAUUUGCAGCUGCCACCCACCUCCCUCAUCAAACCCUAGCUGCCCCCUCCUCAAGCCUUCUCUCCAAGGUGCCAUUCCUUUCCCGCUCGGAUCUACGUCGCGUUGGUGCAAGUCUCCAAUUGGAUUUUGGUGGAGGGAAGAAGGGAGGAAAGGGGGUGGAUUCAAGGUGAUUUUGAGAUUGUAUCUUGUUUAAUUGUGCUGUAAUCCAAUUGAUUAUAUGUUUACCUAUGCGAAUUGGUAGAGGUGUUGUCCUGAAAUUUUGUGGGUGGACGAAUAACAGUAAUUCUAGUGAUUUCUGGGAAUUUUUCGUGGGUAAUUAUUGGGGAUCAGUGGGAGAAUCAUGUAUAGCUUUGUCAUACCUUUCCAACGAGUACUUUUGCGCUCGAUUCGGAGUUAUAUUUUAGGAGAUAUCGCUGUUCGAAUCCGGGUAUGUUGCUGUCCAAAAAAAACAGAUUUCUGCAUGUGGGCGAACAACAGUAGUAUUAGCAGUUUCUGGGGAUUUUUCGUGAAAAAUUAGUGAUAAUCAGUAUGAGAAUCAUUUAGAGCCUUGUCACACCUUUCCAACGAGUACUUAUGCGCUCGAUUCGGAGUUAUGCAUUAGGAGAUAUCGCUGUUUGAACCCGGCUAGGUUGCUGUCUAAAAACAGAUUGCAGAAUGUAUCUUGUGGACGAUUUUGGGCUAAGUAGAUGUGGGAAUUUAAUUAUCUUUUGAAUACAAAAUUUGUGGGGAAUUUUAUGUAGAUGCUUCCGGAGUUUUUGAUUGAUAUCACUGCUAUUAUAAUUUUAAAGUUAUGAAAUUAUCAAACAGCGUCGCUGCAAUUUGGUGGUGAUGGGGAGAGUUGUUGUUUGCAACGGGUUGAAAUUGUGCGUAGGUGCGGCGUUGUUUAUUAGAGUUUGUUAUGUGAAUUUAUGCACUAAGGUGUGUGUCAAAAACAGGUGGUGGACUUCCGGAUCGUACUUAGUACCAUUCCAAAUUCUCGGUGAAGGCAAGUAAAUACAGUCUUGGUUGCUACCGUUUGGUUUGCAUCCUAUUCACUAUCAUUGAGCAUGCAUAAGUUUUAAAUAUGUUAACCAUUGAAUUCUAUGAUGAAUUUUAUUUGUUCAAAAGUAUUAAUUCUCAAUUGUCUAAUAUUGUGGAUGAUCAUGAUUUGGUAAUGAUAUAUGUGGUUGAUUCCCAUCUUGGAUGAAGUUGAAGUAUCUUUUUGAAUCACGUUAUAUGAAGUGUUGUAGGCAUGUCAUGCACAUCGCAUCAUUCAUCUUGCAUUUGAAGUUAUGUCGUGAUCUUAUGGUCUGACCGUACCAGUACAUUUUUUAGCAUCGUACGUUGCCCGAGGAGGGGUACGAUGCGGCUUCAUAUCCUUAGAGGUAUGAAGGUAGAAGUCAUCCUUGCAUUUACAGACAUUUGCACUCAUGAGGUAUAUAUGAAGUGUGACAUUACUAUGUUACUAUUGUGGUUUCUACCUGCGAGGUGUGGUAGCUAGGUGUGUUGUACGUUGUAUACGUGGCGCACCUUCGUAAUAAGAAGGUUGUGAAAUCAAGUGGUGGUAAAACAAUAUUCUUGUGUGGUUAAACAGUUUGAUAUUAUUUUACUUGAUGAGAUGUGUCAUCUCACUCUUGCAUUACUCAAUACAGGUGUUUGAUACAUGUUGG